UACGUAGGUGGCAAGCGUUGUCCGGAAUUAUUGGGCGUAAAGCGCGCGCAGGCGGAUCUGCCAGUCUGUCUUAAAAGUUCGGGGCUUAACCCCGUGAUGGGAUGGAAACUACAGAUCUAGAGUAUCGGAGAGGAAAGUGGAAUUCCUAGUGUAGCGGUGAAAUGCGUAGAUAUUAGGAAGAACACCAGUGGCGAAGGCGACUUUCUGGACGAAAACUGACGCUGAGGCGCGAAAGCCAGGGGAGCGAACGGG
rnacentral:rRNA from 3 species